GUGCUCGCUUCAGCAGCACUUAUACUAAAAUUGGCACAAUACAGAGACCAUCAGCAUGGCCCCUGCGCAGGGAUGACAUGCAAGUAGUUGAAGUGUUCCAUAUUCCC
ensembl:snRNA U6 U6 spliceosomal RNA